UACAGAGGGUGCGAGCGUUAAUCGGAAUUACUGGGCGUAAAGCGCACGUAGGCGGCUUUGUAAGUUAGAGGUGAAAGCCUGGGGCUCAACUCCAGAAUUGCCUUUAAGACUGCAUCGCUUGAACGUCGGAGAGGUGAGUGGAAUUCCGAGUGUAGAGGUGAAAUUCGUAGAUAUUCGGAAGAACACCAGUGGCGAAGGCGGCUCACUGGACGACUGUUGACGCUGAGGUGCGAAAGCGUGGGGAGCAAACAGG
rnacentral:rRNA from 1 species